rnacentral:rRNA from 1 species
ACUGCUCAGUAACACGUGGCUAACCCACCCUUGAGACGGAGAAAACCCCGGGAAACUGGGGUUAAUCUCCGAUAAGAGAAGACCCCUGGAAUGGGUCUUCUCUCAAAGGGCGCCUAGACCAUGCUUCUAGGCGUUGCUCAAGGACGGGGCCGCGGCCGAUCAGGUUGUUGGUGAGGCAACGGCUCACCAAGCCUAUAACCGGUACGGGCCGUGAGAGCGGGAGCCCGGAGAUGGGCACUGAGACAAGGGCCCAGGCCCUACGGGGCGCAGCAGUUGCGAAAACUCCGCAAUGCACGAAAGUGUGACGGGGCUACCCCGAGUGCCGUCCGCUGAGGGCGGCUUUUCCCCGGUGUAAGGAGCCGGGGGAAUAAGGAGAGGGCAAGUCUGGUGUCAGCCGCCGCGGUAAUACCAGCUCUCCGAGUGGUAGGGAUGAUUAUUGGGCUUAAAGCGUCCGUAGCCGGCCCGGCAAGUCUUCCGUUAAAUCCAACGAUUCAAUCGUUGGACUGCAGGAGAUACUGUUGGGCUAGGGGGCGGGAGAGGCCGACGGUAUUCUCGGGGUAGGGGUAAAAUCCUAUAAUCCCGGGAGGACCACCAGUGGCGAAGGCGGUCGGCUAGAACGCGCUCGACGGUGAGGGACGAAAGCUGGGGGAGCGAACCGGAUUAGAUACCCGGGUAGUCCCAGCUGUAAACGAUGCGGGCUAGGUGUUGGGGCGGCUACGGGCCGCUUCAGUGCCGCAGGGAAACCAUUAAGCCCGCCGCCUGGGGAGUACGGCCGCAAGGCUGAAACUUAAAGGAAUUGGCGGGGGA